rnacentral:rRNA from 1 species
GACGAACGCUGGCGGCGUGCCUAAUACAUGCAAGUCGAGCGCAGGAAAUCGACGGAACCCUUCGGGGGGAAGUCGACGGAAUGAGCGGCGGACGGGUGAGUAACACGUAAAGAACCUGCCCUCAGGUCUGGGAUUACCACGAGAAAUCGGGGCUAAUACCGGAUGGGUCAUCGGACCGCAUGGUCCGAGGAUGAAAGGCGCUUCGGCGUCGCCUGGGGGUGGCCUUGCGGUGCAUUAGCUAGUUGGUGGGGUAAUGGCCCACCAAGGCGACGAUGCAUAGCCGACCUGAGAGGGUGAUCGGCCACACUGGGACUGAGACACGGCCCAGACUCCUACGGGAGGCAGCAGUAGGGAAUCUUCCACAAUGGACGAAAGUCUGAUGGAGCAACGCCGCGUGAACGAUGAAGGCCUUCGGGUCGUAAAGUUCUGUUGUAAGGGAAGAACAAGUGCCGCAGGCAAUGGCGGCACCUUGACGGUACCUUGCGAGAAAGCCACGGCUAACUACGUGCCAGCAGCCGCAGUAA